CCGCAGGCUCCAGCGUCACUGUCACCGCCAUCCCCGGCGCACGGCCGCGGCCCCGACUCGACUGAGCCACUGCAGAUGUUCCAGUUGGCAAAGCUACAUCAUAGAAAAAAGCCUGGAUCCAUAAGUCAAGGCUCAAAUAAGAGCUAAUGAAGACUGGUGCGUAACUUGCUUCAAAAUGUGAGGAGAGUGACGAAACUUGGGUGCAACCAAGAUGUCCUUCAGUAGGUGAAUGGAUAAACAAGCUUUGGUACUUCCAGACAGUGGAAUAUUAUUCAGCAAUAAAAAGAAAAUGAGCUAUCAAGCUAUGAAAAGACAUGGAGGAGCCUUAAAUGCAUAUUACUAAGUGAAAGACACCAAUCUAAAAAGGCUGCAUUCUGUAUGAUUCCAACUCUGUGACAUUCUAGAAAAGGUCAACAUUACUUGAUGUUCAGAAGUGGGAUCCAAAAAGGACCCCACAAAACUCCCAGGCUGGUGAGGACACAGGUGCCAGUACCCGCAGAGCCCACUGAGCUUGCUGCCUUCUAGCUGACCCUGGAGUUUGAGGCUUGCAGGAUUUUGGUUCAUGAGCUGGGGGUCUGGCCUGAACUCCUGUGAUGGGAGCUCCAAGUCCGAAACACUGGCCUAACAGAGAACCUCAGACCCCAGGGAAUAUUCACCAGAGUGAGGUCUCCCGGAGGUCCUCAUCUCAGCACAAAGACCCAGCUCUACACAACAGCCUAUAAACUCCAGUGCUGAAAGCCUCAGGCCAAACAACCAGUAAGACAGGAACACAAUCCCACCCAUCAGAAA